CCUACGGGUGGCAGCAGUAGGGAAUCUUUCACAAUGGGCGAAAGCCUGAUGGAGCAACGCCGCGUGCAGGAUGAAGGCCUUCGGGUUGUAAACUGCUUUUAUAAGCGAGAAAUAUGAUGGUAACUUAUGAAUAAGGAUCGGCUAACUACGUGCCAGCAGCCGCGGUCAUACGUAGGAUCCGAGCAUUAUCCGGAGUGACUGGGUGUAAAGAGUUGCGUAGGUGGCAUAAUAAGUAGCUAGUGAAAUCUGGUGGCUCAACCAUUCAGACUAUUAGCUAAACUGUUAAGCUCGAGACCGUUAGGGGUAACUGGAAUGUGUAGUGUAGGAGUGAAAUCCGUAGAUAUUAGAAAGAACACCAAUAGCGUAGGCAGGUUGCUGGGACGGUUCUGACACUAAGGCACGAAAGCGUAGGGAGCAAACGGGAUUAGAUACCCUUGUAGUC
rnacentral:rRNA from 1 species